UGGGGAAUAUUGGACAAUGGGCGAAAGCCUGAUCCAGCCAUGCCGCGUGUGUGAAGAUGGUCUUCGGAUUGUAAAGCACUUUACGUUGGGAGGAAGGGCAGUAAGCGAAUACCUUGCUGUUUUUACGUUACCGACAGAAUAAGCACCGGCUAACUCUGUGCCAGCAGCCGCGGUAAUACAGAGGGUGCAAGCGUUUAUCGGAAUUACUGGGCGUAAAGCGCGCGUAGGUGGGUCGUUAAGUUGAAUGUGAAAGCCCCGGGCUCAACCUGGGAACUGCAUCCAAAACGGGCGAGCUAGAGUAGGGCAGAGGGUAGUGGAAUGUCCUGUGUUGCGGUGAAAUGCGUAGAUAUAGGAAGGAACACCAGUGGCGAAGGCGACCACCUGGGCUCAUACUGACACUGAGGUGCGAAAGCGUGGGGAGCAAACAGG
rnacentral:rRNA from 1 species